rnacentral:misc_RNA from 1 species
GGACAAUCCAGUCACGCAGAACUGACAAAACCUUGUCCAGUAAGAAGGUAAGAAUCUUCUUCAAUAGAGAAUAUGUCAACGUCUCCGUGAACGAAGAGAUCUGCUGGUUCCAAGGACUUGUCGUGGAUUUCUGUCCUAGAUACUUUCUUCCGUAAUUCAAGAUAAAGAAAAUUACAAUCUCUGCUGUCCAUUCCAUCGCUUUUCCCUUCAGAAUCAUAAUCAGAGAAUCCUUGCAGAACGUCGUGAGUGUGCUCUCAGCUGCAAUCACCAGAAGGACUCUUCACACUCGGAACACUUCCAAGAAGUUUCUCCUCCUCUAUGAUGAAACCAACACAAGAAAGCCAAAAGGGCGUUUAACCCCUUGAAGCACUGAGAGUUUCCCUGCUGAUAUUCUUAGACUGUUCUUUUUCUAAAACGAGAAAGAGGUAAGUUCCCUCUUUUUUUUU